GCCAGGCACGGUGGCUCAUGCCUGUAAUCCUAGCACUUUGGGAGGCUGAGGCAGGUGGAUCACUUGAGGUCAGGAGUUCGAGACCAGCCUGGCCAACAUAGUGAAAUCCUGUCUCUA
rnacentral:SRP_RNA from 1 species